rnacentral:rRNA from 1 species
AUUGAACGCUGGCGGCAUGCUUUACACAUGCAAGUCGAACGGUAACAGGCCGCAAGGUGCUGACGAGUGGCGAACGGGUGAGUAACGCAUCGGAACGUGCCCAGUCGUGGGGGAUAACGCAGCGAAAGCUGUGCUAAUACCGCAUACGAUCUGUGGAUGAAAGCGGGGGACCGUAAGGCCUCGCGCGAUUGGAGCGGCCGAUGUCAGAUUAGGUAGUUGGUGGGGUAAAGGCUCACCAAGCCGACGAUCUGUAGCUGGUCUGAGAGGACGACCAGCCACACUGGGACUGAGACACGGCCCAGACUCCUACGGGAGGCAGCAGUGGGGAAUUUUGGACAAUGGGCGCAAGCCUGAUCCAGCAAUGCCGCGUGCAGGAAGAAGGCCUUCGGGUUGUAAACUGCUUUUGUACGGAGCGAAAAGGCUCCCUCUAAUACAGGGGGCUCAUGACGGUACCGUAAGAAUAAGCACCGGCUAACUACGUGCCAGCCGCCGCCGUAA